UUCCUGCGUGAUGUGCCCUUGGAGAAGGGCGUUCAGCAUCCUGCAUCUGUCACAUAAAUACCAUCUUCCCUUCCGUGCUGCAGAGCCGUGGCGCCUUCCCUGCUGUGUUUCCUUAAUCAGCACCUAUGGCAAAGCAGCGGGCACGAAGCCACGGAUUAAACCUGGUACUUGCUGUGAAACCCAGCAUCUGCUUAAAUAGCACUUACAUCUGUUAAUGCCGAUUGUUUAAUGCAGCUUUCUAGGCAGUACAGUGCCAGGUGCUGUAGAGUAAGGCAUUCCUCUGGCUGAUAAACUUUGCAGCUCAAGAGUGAGAAGGAUUUCCCCAUCUGUGCUUGGGCUGCUGUGCCAUUGCCUCCUUUGAUGCCAGACUUUGAACAACUGAUCUUGUUUUGUUCCGUUUUGUUUCCCCAGAUCAAUUAACUAAAGCCAUCUUUGCAAUAAGUAUUUUCUUUUUAAAAGCAGGCGCACUCUUGCCUCCUCUAAUUACGAUAAGGGUGUUUGUUGUUCAGGGCAGGGGGUCUCAGUGGUUUUGUUUAGGUUCUUAUAGACCUCUAUGGGGACAAUAGCGGCUGGUUUCUGCAAGUCCCGGUAAAACUAGGAGGGUGCAGAGGGAUGAGAUGGGGACCACACCACAAAGAGGCAUCCUUAUGGAAAAGAAAGGGCAGGAGUGGGUCAGAGGGUGACACAUCCCUCUUUGGUGCUUGUAGGAAGAGUUUUGCAUCUUCUUGUACUCUUUGACUGGUAAAGAUCCUUUAGGCAGGAACAUUUUUUUCUCUGCACUGGGCCAAUAAAUAACAGCAAAGAACUGCUCAUCCCUGCCUACCUGGACUAUUUUUGUUGUUAUCUUAAUUGCUUCAUUCUCACAACCCACACUCAAUCUUUUCAGAAAAUUGGAGCCUUGAACUUCUUUCCAGGAUCUUGAGGAAAUCUCACGUCUCCCCACCAUUUCCCAGCCUGUCUCAUCUACGAGAACAAGCCCUAUCUCUUCCCACCUGAUGUAGUCUGAAUUUCCUCAGGGAUUAUCUAAACAGAGCCCACGUGAUCCAUUUCUCUCAACCCCUCUACAAUUGGGAAAGCAUAAAUCAUGGGUCCCUACAAAUAAACACAACUGGCAAGAUGUUAUUUUCCUCUGUCUGAAGUAACACCGGUUCUUUAAUCUGCCGCCUCCUGGAAGCGUGUCUGUUCAGAGAAUGCACAACCAUUACAAUGUAUACACAAUGUUCUUCUGCCACUUCUCCUUGCAAGCUAUAAUGGGACUCCUACACCAGACACACUGAAAGAAAUGUGGCCAAGUGAAUACCUCUUACUGUUUUCACUUCUCUUCUUCAACUUGGCUUUGAAACCAGAAAGCAUUUCUGCUUGUAAGGAAAGGAAUGGCUGGCUAAGAAAGGGAAAAUCUUGACCAUGAAAUCCUGCUGCAGCUUAAUUUUCAGACUUGUGACUUUCGUUCAAACUUCAUGUUAUAGUUGCGAGGCUGUUUUGACAUCAUUAAUUCUGAAAAUAUUCUUUGUAAAAUGAAGAAAGGGUAAGUUCUUGCCAUAACGAAAACAACUUCGAGCUGAACACUUAAAAACGCUACAAAAACUGGAGAUGUUUUUACAGUUAAACCUCGUCUGGAGUUCAUUUAAAAUAAUCAUGUUUACAUGGAGGUGAAUUAGUGUGCUGAGCUGUGCCAAUGCCUCGCUGUAGUUAAAAGUACACGGCCAAGAAUUAUAACCCUGGCAAUUCAGUCCCUGCGUGCUGCACUCCUGGCUAUGUGCAAGAACCCAGGGGCAGAAAGGCCAGUCUGGGAGGGUAGUGGGGAGUCAAAAUCGCUUUAAUCAGUGAUGAACCUUGUAGGAAUAUUCCAGGGCAGUAAGUGCUGGGUCCAUGAUUUGUCUUUCAUUAUGAAACAACUAUUUUUCUGUAUGCAAAAGGUAAGCCUAUUCAGAGGUCCUAUUGCUGUGUCUCUGCUGAGGCUGGGAGUCAGUUUGCUGGGCAAUGAAGAUGUCCACGUCUCUGCUAGCCCUCUGCACCUCCUUAUGGUUUUUGGAAUAGGAUGCGACUCAUCUCUGCUCUUGGAGACACCUCCUUUGGGGUAAGGCAGGUCUUUCCCUUCAGCGUCCCUAGAUGGCAGGGAUCGGGGGUAGUAGAGAUGAACCCACCCCAUGGCUCGUUUUCCAAUAGCAUUGUUGGCCUGAGAGCCUCCAAGUAAGCAGACCUCAUCUUCAAACCUUUCUUUGAGGGGUGUUGGCUGCUAAAUGUGUAUUUGGAGUUAGCAGUGACCUGGAUGGGUCCCUGCAAACAUUUCACUGCUCCACUCCCACCCUUCAGUUCAGCUACUCCUAUUUUUAAGGGCUGUCUGCUUACGACACGUACUCAUGAAAGCAGUUUUGCAUCUGAUACGCAUGUAUAAUACAUGGGAUUGUCUCUGGCACAUCUGUGCUGUGUGGUCUUUCUAGGAGCCUGAGAAAGCAUUUCUCUUGUGAAAACUUUGAGUGGCAGGAUUACUUCCCAGCUAAGGUCUGUGAGCAAUUGCAGAGAGCAAAGCUUUUUGGUUUUGCUUUGAUGGUCAAAAAUGCCGUUGCCGUGAGUGUUGGCUGAUAUGAGAAGGAGCUUUAUUUCAGGCAGCCUCUGCUGUUUUCAGUUAAUUGAAGCUUGUGGUUGUUGCAAGCCCUCUCUUGACCCUCAGCUCAUCUCCUAUCUCCAUCUGCCACUAUUGAGCUGUUACCGGAGAUGCUGUUCCUGCCUGGGCUCUCAGCCUGCUCCUGGAGAUGCCGUUCCUGCUCAGCCUGGUCCUGGCAGACUGUGCCUGUCCUUGCCAGGCAGCGUGUCAGCAAGGACACGUGGCCUGGCAGCUGCUCCAUGCUGGAAACUCGGUUGUUGCUGUCUUCCUUGUUACUGCACCCUGUGCUGGCCAGGAAACGUCAGCCACGGGGCUGCCAGCUCGGGCUUCGCUCAACCCCCGCCAUCGCUGAAUGCUGCACCCCCAGGAGAAAGGGAGGUACAGGGGAAAAGGGAGACAACAAGAAGCAGGGUUACAAAUCACACUGAGGAAGGUGCAAAGCAGAUACGGACAAGUGGGGGAUGUGUGUUGGCAGCGGAUGGGCUCUGUGCUGGCGCUCACUCGCUUUGGUCUGGAUCUGUAUAACCAUGAGAUCAAUUUCUCUGAGUGGAACUAGGCUGGAGGAAUCUUGAUGAGAUCAAAGGGAGAUAAUUUUAUUACAGUGGCCUGCAAGUUCCUUUUAUGUGAGUAUAUUGCUGCUUAAUGUAGGGGAUCAAAUUCUUAGCUGAUAUAAAUCUGCAUGUAGCUCCAUUGACUUAUAUGGCACUACAGCCGUUUACCGCAUCUUGUGAUUUACUGGGUCUGCGUUAGCGCCCUGCACGGACGGUUCCCGAGCUGCUGUCUGCAGACGACUGGAGUCACAACCACAGGUACAUGGCCCUCAGUUGGGUGUUUGCAAUCUUCUCCAGAGCAUCCUCCGUUACAGACUUAGUAAUUAGACUGCCUUGUAUUCCACAAUAAAUUUCAUGUGUUGACAGCAGUCUGUGGUCCAAAAGCUACGGAUGCCACCGCUCUAAACACUCCUCACUAAUUCAUUAGCUUUUAAUUUGUGUAAAUAAAGAUUCUCAUUAGUUUUGGGGGGAUUUUUUUUUUGUCACUUGGGCUGGAGAAGCUCUUUGCCAGCAGCUUUGCCCAGGGAUUUGUUUCUCCAGAUAACAAAUCUUGGGACCAGCAGCUGAACCGGGACAAGCUGCCAUGUUAAUGAACUGUAAAUUUAGAGCAUCUUAGCAUGCUUGGAAAAAGUAUAAAUCAUAGGUUACUGCUGACUUCUUUCUUUUUUUGUUUCAAAAGUGAACAAGUAGCCAACCAUUAGGUUUCUUUCAACGGUGACAGGCUAAUUGUUUCAAAAUGGGGCCAUGUAAUAUGUUGAGCGCUGCGAUGUGAGAUCAGCUGGAACAUCUGUUCCUGAAGAACGCUGUGUAGGAACAUCCCUUCUAAACAGAGAUAAGCCGGUUCGAACAGGAUAUGAAGGAACAUUGCAAAGCUGAGAAAAUUACUGUCAUGACAGCUGUAAAACCAAAAACUUCUUGGAAACGCAGCCUGGGAACGCUGCUCUUAAACAGAAGCAGAGAAAAACGGAUCUGGGUGUCUGGGCAGGGCACUGCAUCGCAGGGAAGCAGGGUCCUCUUGCAAGGCCUUUGCUGGCAUUAAAAUGUUCCUUCCCAGUUUCUGUCUGCAAGAGCAUUUUGUAGGCUGUGAGAUGGCUUAGGAGGCCAGUUCUGACACGAGGUAAUUAGCUGGAAUUCAGAUUGUUUUCAGCAAAUGUGAGACAGUUGUCACAGAUUUUAUUUUUCCUGCACUGUGGGCAUCUGCUGGUGGCCACCACCAGAAGCACAACACGAAAUUAGAUGGGUGCAGUGCAGCCAUUAUGCUUCAUGUGUUAUUUUUAUAGCUAUUUCUGUAUCUUGCCAGGUAUCUUUGUUAGGGAAAAGGCUGUUUUGGUUGGGUUUUUUUGUUAGUUUUUUUUUUUUUUUAAAAGGUGUUUGGUGUAAUGGGAAUUUUUAGCUGUGAUACUUAACUUUUGCAUGGCAAAUGAAACAUCUGAAGAAAACAGUGCCCAGAAACUGGAUAGUUUAAGGGGUGCAAAGCUGAAUUCUUGCAGCAAGGAAUAAAUAAGAAAAAAGGUAAUGCAUACAUUUCUGAUGCAGGUCAAGUACCUGACUGAAUGCUGGUUUACCGUGAGUUUUUCCCUUGGAGUAUUUUAAUUGUUCUGGCUGCCACUAGUGACACUGACACAGUAUCCACACAAAAUGGAAAAAUAUUAAUGUGCAAAGGUUUUGAGCAACUUGACAGAAGCUCUGAAAGGAGCAGGGCCAGGGACGAGCAUAGAAACGUGAAAGUAUUUUGGAUUACUGCACCCAAGCCUCAGUUUCACAAGAUAUUUAAAACACAUGCCUACAUUUAAUCGUAUGAAUACUUGUACAGGCUUCAGUGAGACCCUUCUCUUGGGUAAAUUUAGGCAUAGGCUCAGAUGUCUCACUGAAUGAGAAGCAUAGAAGGACUCUGCGUACUUCCUCCUCAAGGCCCACGUAGUAACAACUCCAAGUAAAUCCCACUUGAGUACAUAAAGCAGAUGAGUGCAAAAAACACUGUGAUAAAUCCUUUACCAGUUCUUAAAUCUUGCUGAUCUUUAAUCUGAUAACUCUUCCUCCCUCAGACAAACUGAGGGGUAUAGUAUUUCAGCUCUCAGACUGCAUGCUGGUAUGCGUAGAUGUAUUACGUGCUGUGUCUCAGGGCGAGGAGCAUAUGCAGAAAUUAGGAAUUUGGGUUGCUCAGUUAGAAAUAGCCAGUUUUUAAGCUGUCUUUCAUUAAGUCUAUUAUUCAACAGAAAACUUUCUUGCUCAGCCAGUAAACGCAUCUUUAGAGGUGCUGUUGCUGCAAAUCCAGUUUACACACGGAUUCCUGAUUAUCGCAGCAGAGAUGAAAUGAAAUAAUUUCUUCUGCUGCUCCCUGUCCUCUGCUGCUGGCCCAGCCGAGGGAUUUGCUCCAGAUGGCAGCGGCAGGUGGGAGCGCUCUGUGCUGGGGGACGACGAGGGAGGUGUGCUCCAUUCCCUGCGCAUCCCGCACGGGCGAUGUCCAGAGGAGGAAUGUGCCAAAGCACCACCACCGUCUGCUCUGGCCAAGCUGAGAAAUGGCUGCAAAAGGCCCUCCUGCUCCCAUCUCCCUGCUGGCAUCGUCUGGUCCUUCCCUGCAUCCUUCAGGCAUCGCUAGAGGUAAUGGGGAAUGAUUGAAAAUCCCUGGGAAUUAUUGAAAAUCCCUGGGUUUGUGGCUUGUCAGAGGAUGGAGCAAACCAUCUCAUUUCCUGCCCAAUGCACACAUGGCUCCCCUGUUGCCCCCUGGACCAGUGCCACUCAGAUCCAUGCUACCACAUAUGACCCUGCACGGCAGAGACGGUGGCCAGUCUGUCUCCGAACCCCAGCAGGAAUAUCCUCCUCCAACUGAAAACAACUUUUUAAAACAGUAUUUUAAAUUUCUGAGCUCCUGAUUGAAGAUACCAGAGACGUGAUGGAUCCGGUUGGCAGAACAGCUCCUGGGUGAGCCACCGGCAUCCCUUCCCAUCGAGAGGAUAUUGCGGUGCUCUCUCUGCUCUCCGCCAUGCAAGCGUCCUCCAAGUACCACGGUGAUUUGGGUGCUUUGAUUUUUGUGUCGGGUUCCUCCUCACACAGUCUCUCUGUCAUACUAUGCUGCUCCCAUGAAAUGCGGAAAUAUCACACUUUCCUUGGGAUAUGCCAACAACUCGGGAAGGGGAGCCAGCAAAGACAGACUUCUGCCUCCAUCGUGCUGUAGAUCCAGGUGCUUUGCUUGGUUCAUGGGGAGUCAUUUCAAAGGGGUUGUCCUCGCCUUGUCCUCUGCCAAUCCACUCCUCGCUUCUGAACAAAUAAAGAGACCCCUGCUCCUCCAAGAGAAGUGUUUUAAGUGGUUAUGAGGCUAUAAAAAAAAAAAAAAAGAAAAGAAAAAUGCUGGGAGAAAUUUUGCAGAACCUCCAAUGGCGCAUCUGUGACCAGCAAUGGAAAAAUGGGCUUGGGCUGCUCUUCUGAAGCCUUCAUCAGCGGUUAGCUUCUGGCAAAGCCUACCUUCAGUCAGGCUGGUGUCAGUGGCAGUGCAGCUGUACCUGCACGGAGGUCCCUGAACCCCCUCGGAUCCUUUGCAGAAUGGGAACAAACAAUUUCCAUUACUUUUCUUUGUAACUCUUCAAUUUGCGCUUGGCAAACACGGGACAGCAAGAGAAAGAGAAACCUUUGGAUGCACAACUGGAGGUGAUGGCGCAGUUGAUCGUGGGCCUGCAUCUAUUGCUAAAUCCAGCCUUUUGAAACCAUCCUGGAGUGGAAGUCAAUGUGCAGCAGAUCCGUAGCAAGAUGGAAGGUGGGGGCUGCAUGGCCGUGGCAGGGGCACGGUGGUGUUUUUGGCCAGGUGAAGGCAGGAGUGAUGGAGCUGAGCUGCCUGUUCUGGCAUUUCCCCAGGGCUCAGCGCUCUGAGUUCAUCAGAGCAUGCCAGGGAAGCUAUCACCUUUCUUACCCACUUGACUCCUCCCCGUGCUUUAAAGCAAGGGCUUUUUCCCCAUGGCGCAGCUGUAAAAAGUAUAGUUUAACAGCAGCCUCGUUAUAACUUUUUAUGCAGCCACAUUCUAAUUAAAAAACAAAACUCAUCAGAAAUUGCUUUCCAAGGGACCUAGCCCAAGUGGGGAUCGAGGGCAUUUGCCGUACAGCAGCCAAAACUUUAAAAAAUGUUUGGUUUAGAGUGCAGCAAUCUCAGCACAUGGGAAUGGGCUAUUCCAGCUCACAGGAAUUGGUUAUUCCCCGCCAGGGAGCCCUGAAUGGUGCUUUGCUGAGGACAAAAAACUCUUAAACAAGUACAAAACUCCCCUUUAGCUCAAGGACUCAGUGACUGGUCAUGCUGGGGAAGUGAAGUGUCAGUGGGGAAAGCUCCUCCUUGACGCUUUAGUUGGAUGUCGGCUUUUGGAGACCCAGCCAUCCUGUGGGAUUCAUCCCAUGUGCUCAGCCCCCACCCUGGUGGAUCCUAAAGACAUUAUGACACUUGCCUCUUGGUGACCUUCCAGGUCUCAAAUAUCACAAUACAAGCAGGAAAUAGGGUAUCACCCCAGAAAUAAGAACUGAAAAAAAUGUGGAAGGCCGGGAUGAGAAAAUCCCUGCGUAAGGACAGGAUUGCUCAUGCUUCUUAUUUGUUUCUGGCAUUGCAGGUUAGGAGCCAAUGUGCUUCCAGAGGUUUUCACCCCACAAUCACAAGAGCCAAAGAUUUACUCUGUUUUGUUAACAGGAGCUGGUGUGAUAUGAUCCACGACUGGCAGUCGAUGCUUUGGAGCUGUGCUAAAUACAGUGACAAAGUACUGUGACAUUUUUGAUGGCACCAAGUAACUCAGGAUGUUCUUUGUGGCUGGUGGGACACGGUGACAAUAUGGUCCCGCGUUGAGGCCCUUCAUUAGGGCAUGGUGGCACCUAAACCAUUUAGCUUUGGAGGGCUUGGUGAAUAUGUCCUGAGCCCUUUACUCCAAUGCUAUCCCAGGUUCUAACAUUUUUAAAUACUGGGUUUUAGCAUGGUGCAGUGUCUCUCUAAGCUUUUUCUUAGUUUAAUUCACCCAUCCACAUCUAUGGCAGAAUUACUGUGUUCCAAGGACAGAAAUGCUGGGCUCUAAUUUUGCCCCUAUUCAUAAAGUAGCAUCAAAACCCCAGUGCUCCAUGUCAGGCCUCUUCCCAAACCCUGCCCGUUCAUAGAUGGGUUGCCACAUUGUUUGCUGUAAAAUGCUUGUACCAAAAUCCUGUGUUGGGGUGAGCUGGGCUUGCAAAUGCCAGGGCUGUGGUGCCGCAGCGGAGACUCCACUUCCAGCAAGCAGGGAGUCUUCCAAGGCAGGGAGCAACUUAAGUCCUUAAACCUGACUUUGAAAUGCCUUCCAGUUCAGGGCAAGGAAGGGAGAUGUUUGAGGUGGGGGGGAUGUGGGACUUGGAUACCCACGUCUUAGGGAAUCUCAGGGCACCACAUAUAUAUAUAGCUAUACAUGUAAAUGCAUAUAUACAUAUAUAUGUGUGUGCGUGUUAUAUAUUGCAAUCAAUCUGCCUGCGGGC